rnacentral:rRNA from 1 species
CCUACGGGUGGCUGCAGUAGGGAAUCUUCGGCAAUGGAGGCAACUCUGACCCAGCAACGCCGCGUGAAGGAAGAAGGCCUUAGGGUUGUAAACUUAUGUUGUAAAGGAAGAAAAGAAUGGCGGUACUUUACCCUAAAGCCCCGGCUAACUAUGUGCCAGCAGCCGCGAUAAGACAUAGGGGGCACGCGUUGUUCGGAAUUACUGGGCGUAAAGGGAGCGUAGGCGGGAGAUUAAGUUAAGAGUGAAAGCCUUGGGCUCAACCGAAGAAAUGCUCUUGAUACUGGUGUUCUAGAGUGUGGAAGAGGUAAGUGGAAUUCCUUGUGUAGCGGUAGAAUGCGUAGAGAUUAGGAGGAACAUCAGAGGCGAAGGCGGCUUACUGGACCAUAACUGACGCUGAGGCUCGAAAGCGUGGGGAGCGAACAGGAUUAGAUACCCUUGUAGUC